AGCCAAAUUCUAGCCCAACAUACAUUGACCCAGAAUAACAAAGCCACUCCCAAUCACUUAACUAAACCAUUUACUAGUCCUAGUAUAGGUGAUAGAAAAGACCACAUGGAGCGAUAGAGACCACGUACCGUAAGGGAAAGAUGAAAUAGCAAUGAACAAAGACAAGCUAAAAACAGCAAAGAUCAACCCUUGUACCUUUUGCAUCAUGGUCUAGCAAGAAAAACCAAGCAAAAUGAAUUGAAGCUUGCCUCCCCGAAACCUAAGCGAGCUACUUACGAGCAGCUACAUUGAGCGAACCCGUCUCUGUUGCAAAAGAGUGGGAUGACUUGUCAGUAGAGGUGAAAAGCCAACCGAGCUGGGUGAUAGCUGGUUGCCUGUGAAACGAAUUUAAGUUCACUCUUAAUUCUUCUCCAAGGAAAUUCCAAAACCCUAAUGAAGCGAAUUAAGGGCUAUUUAAAGGAGGUACAGCUCCUUUAAAAAAGAGUACACUCUCCACGAGCGGAUAAGCAUCAAACCCAAAAAGAUUAUAGUGGGCCCUCAAGCAGCCAUCAAUAAAGAGUGCGUUAAAGCUCCAUAUACUAAAAAUCAAAUAACCUUGCGACUCCCUCCUCACUAACAGGCUAACCUAUAUUAAAAUAGGAGAAUUAAUGCUAGAAUGAGUAACUAGGGUAUACCCUCUACAACGCAAGCUUACAUCUGCACAUUAUUAACAAACACCAAAUAUACAACCAAUCCAACAAGCAAAGUAUAAAGCAAUUUGUUAGCCCGACAGAGGAGCGUCUACCAAGAAAGAUUAAAACCUGUAAAAGGAACUAGGCAAGCACGUCAAGGCCCGACUGUUUACCAAAAACAUAGCCUUCAGCAAACCCCAAACAAGUAUUGAAGGUGAUGCCUGCCCGGUGACUCUGUUCAACGGCCGCGGUAUCCUAACCGUGCAAAGGUAGCGCAAUCAAUUGUCCCAUAAAUCGAGACCUGUAUGAAUGGCUAAACGAGGUCUUAACUGUCUCUUACAGGCAAUCAGUGAAAUUGAUCUCCCUGUGCAAAAGCAGGGAUAAAACCAUAAGACGAGAAGACCCUGUGGAACUUCAGAAUCAGCAACCACGCCGACAUACUUUCCCCCCCAACACCAGGGGUCACUUACCCGUCAAACCGCUGGUCUGCAUUCUUUGGUUGGGGCGACCUUGGAGAAAAACGAAUCCUCCAAAAACAGGACCAAACCUCUCGACUAAGAGCAACCCCUCAACGUGCUAAUAGCAACCAGAUCCAAUAUAAUUGAUCAAUGGACCAAGCUACCCCAGGGAUAACAGCGCAAUCUCCUUCGAGAGUCCGUAUCGACGAGGAGGUUUACGACCUCGAUGUUGGAUCAGGACAUCCUAGCGGUGCAGCAGCUGCUAANNNNNNNNNNNNNNNNNNNNNNNNNNNNNNNNNNNNNNNNNNNNNNNNNNNNNNNNNNNNNGGUCGGUUUCUAUCUAUGAUGAACUCUUCCCAGUACGAAAGGAURGGAAAAGUGAGGCCAAUACCACAAGCRAGCCUUCGCCUUAAGUAAUGAAUGCAACUAAAUACAAAAGGCUAUCRCACCWCAACCACGUCCUAGAAAAGGACCCA
rnacentral:rRNA from 1 species